GACGAACGCUGGCGGCGUGCUUAACACAUGCAAGUCGAACGGAAAGGCCCUGCUUUUGUGGGGUGCUCGAGUGGCGAACGGGUGAGUAACACGUGAGUAACCUGCCCUUGACUUUGGGAUAACUUCAGGAAACUGGGGCUAAUACCGGAUAGGAGCUCCUGCUGCAUGGUGGGGGUUGGAAAGUUUCGGCGGUUGGGGAUGGACUCGCGGCUUAUCAGUUUGUUGGUGGGGUAGUGGCCUACCAAGGCUUUGACGGGUAGCCGGCCUGAGAGGGUGACCGGCCACAUUGGGACUGAGAUACGGCCCAGACUCCUACGGGAGGCAGCAGUGGGGAAUAUUGCACAAUGGGCGGAAGCCUGAUGCAGCAACGCCGCGUGCGGGAUGACGGCCUUCGGGUUGUAAACCGCUUUCGCCUGUGACGAAGCGUGAGUGACGGUAAUGGGUAAAGAAGCACCGGCUAACUACGUG
rnacentral:rRNA from 1 species